GCGCUCAUAGCUCAGCUGGUUAGAGCACGAAGCUUAUACCUUCGGGGUCCUAGGUUCGAAUCCUAGUGAGCGCA
rnacentral:tRNA from 1 species